AUUGAACGCUGGCGGCAUGCCUUACACAUGCAAGUCGAACGGUAGAGUAGCAAUACUCGAGAGUGGCGAACGGGUGAGUAACAUAUCGGAACGUGCCCAAUCGUGGGGGGAUAACGUAGAGAAAUUUACGCUAAUACCGCAUACGAUCUAAGGAUGAAAGCGGGGGAUCGCAAGACCUCGCGCGAUUGGAGCGGCUGAUAUCAGAUUAGGUUGUUGGUGAGGUAAAAGCUCACCAAGCCGACGAUCUGUAGCUGGUUUGAGAGAACGACCAGCCACACUGGGACUGAGACACGGCCCAGACUCCUACGGGAGGCAGCAGUGGGGAAUUUUGGACAAUGGGCGAAAGCCUGAUCCAGCAAUGCCGCGU
rnacentral:rRNA from 1 species